CAGGUCAGGCUGGGCACUCUAGAGAGACUGCCGGGGGAGUAACUCGGAGGAAGGUGGGGGAUGACGUCAAAUCAUCAUGCCCCUUAUGAUUUGGGCUACACACGUGCUACAAUGGUCGGUACAACGGGCAGCGAAGGAGUGAUCUGGAGCGAAUCCUUAUAAGCCGAUCCCAGUUCGGAUUGUAGGCUGCAACUCGCCUACAUGAAGUUGGAGUUGCUAGUAAUCGUGAAUCAGAAUGUCGCGGUGAAUGCGUUCCCGGGUCUU
rnacentral:rRNA from 1 species